rnacentral:rRNA from 1 species
UACGAAGGGUGCAAGCGUUACUCGGAAUUACUGGGCGUAAAGCGUGCGUAGGCGGUUUGUUAAGUCUGUCGUGAAAGCCCCGGGCUCAACUUGGGAAUGGCGAUGGAUACUGGCGAGCUAGAGUACGGUAGAGGAGAGUGGAAUUCCCGGUGUAGCAGUGAAAUGCGUAGAGAUCGGGAGGAACAUCAGUUGCGGAAGGCGGCUCCUCUGGAC